CCUACGGGCGGCUGCAGUGGGGAAUAUUGGACAAUGGGCGAAAGCCUGAUCCAGCCAUGCCGCGUGUGUGAAGAAGGCCUUCGGGUUGUAAAGCACUUUCAGUGGGGAAGAAAGCCUUGGGGCUAAUACCCUCGAGGAAGGACAUCACCCACAGAAGAAGCACCGGCUAACUCCGUGCCAGCAGCCGCGGUAAUACGGAGGGUGCGAGCGUUAAUCGGAAUUACUGGGCGUAAAGCGCGCGUAGGCGGUCUGAUAAGCCGGUUGUGAAAGCCCCGGGCUCAACCUGGGAACGGCAUCCGGAACUGUCAGGCUAGAGUGCAGGAGAGGAAGGUAGAAUUCCCGGUGUAGCGGUGAAAUGCGUAGAGAUCGGGAGGAAUACCAGUGGCGAAGGCGGCCUUCUGGACUGACACUGACGCUGAGGUGCGAAAGCGUGGGUAGCAAACAGGAUUAGAUACCCGUGGUAGUC
rnacentral:rRNA from 1 species